rnacentral:rRNA from 1 species
AGUCAAGUAAUUAAGUGCAUGUGGUGGAUGCCUUGGCAGUCAGAGGCGAUGAAAGACGUGAUAGCCUGCGAAAAGCUCCGGGGAGGCGGCAAAUAUCCUUUGAUCCGGAGAUGUCUGAAUGGGGGAACCCACCUACUUUAAGGUAGGUAUUGCAACAUGAAUACAUAGUGUUGCAAGGCGAACGAGGGGAAGUGAAACAUCUCAGUACCCUUAGGAAAAGAAAUCAAUUGAGAUUCCCUCAGUAGCGGCGAGCGAACGGGGAUCAGCCCAUUAAGUUAUGUGUGUUUUAGUGGAACGCUCUGGGAAGUGCGAACGUAGAGGGUGAUAUUCCCGUACACGAAAGGGCACACAUAAUGAUGACGAGUAGGGCGAGGCACGUGAAACCUUGUCUGAAUAUGGGGGGACCAUCCUCCAAGGCUAAAUACUCCUGACUGACCGAUAGUGAACCAGUACCGUGAGGGAAAGGCGAAAAGAACCCCUGUGAGGGGAGUGAAAUAGAUCCUGAAAUCGCAUGCAUACAAGCAGUGGGAGCACCUUCGUGGUGUGACUGCGUACCUUUUGUAUAAUGGGUCAGCGACUUAUAUUCAGUAGCGAGGUUAACCGUAUAGGGGAGCCGUAGAGAAAUCGAGUCUUAAUAGGGCGUUUAGUUGCUGGGUAUAGACCCGAAACCAGGCGAUCUAUCCAUGAGCAGGUUGAAGGUUGGGUAACACUAACUGGAGGACCGAACCCACUGUCGUUGAAAAGCCAGGGGAUGACUUGUGGAUAGGGGUGAAAGGCUAAUCAAGCCUGGUGAUAGCUGGUUCUCCCCGAAAGCUAUUUAGGUAGCGCCUCGGACGAAUACCAUAGGGGGUAGAGCACUGUUUCGGCUAGGGGGUCAUCCCGACUUACCAAACCGAUGCAAACUCCGAAUACCUAUGAGUACUAUCCGGGAGACAGACUGCGGGUGCUAACGUCCGUAGUCAAGAGGAAAACAAUCCAGACCGCCAGCUAAGGCCCCAAAAUCAUAGUUAAGUGGGAAACGAUGUGGGAAGGCAUAGACAGCUAGGAGGUUGGCUUAGAAGCAGCCACCCUUUAAAGAAAGCGUAAUAGCUCACUAGUCGAGUCGGCCUGCGCGGAAGAUGUAACGGGGCUAAAACUAUGUGCCGAAGCUGCGGAUGUAUACUUUGUAUACGUGGUAGGGGAGCGUUCUGUAAGCCGAUGAAGGUGUGUUGAGAAGCAUGCUGGAGGUAUCAGAAGUGCGAAUGCUGACGUGAGUAACGACAAAACGGGUGAAAAACCCGUUCGCCGAAAGACCAAGGGUUCCAGUCCAACGUUAAUCGGGGCUGGGUGAGUCGACCCCUAAGGCGAGGCCGAAAGGCGUAGUCGAUGGGAAAAUGGUUAAUAUUCCAUUACUUCUGUGUAAUGCGAUGAGAGGACGGAGAAGGCUAAAUCAGCCUGGCGUUGGUUGUCCAGGUGAAAGGAUGUAGGCAUGUAUCUUAGGCAAAUCCGGGGUACUCUAUGCUGAGAUCUGAUAGCAAGCUGUACUUGUACAGCGAAGUGGUUGAUGCCAUGCUUCCAGGAAAAGUCUCUAAGCUUCAGUUACACAGGAAUCGUACCCGAAACCGACACAGGUGGUCAGGUCGAGUAGACCAAGGCGCUUGAGAGAACUCUGCUGAAGGAACUAGGCAAAAUGGUACCGUAACUUCGGGAGAAGGUACGCUGUUGUUGGUGAUGGAACUCGCUUCCUGAGCUGACGACAGCCGCAGAAACCAGGCCGCUGCAACUGUUUAUUAAAAACAUAGCACUCUGCAAACACGAAAGUGGACGUAUAGGGUGUGAUGCCUGCCCGGUGCUGGAAGGUUAAUUGAUGGGGUUAGCGUAAGCGAAGCUCUUGAUCGAAGCCCCAGUAAACGGCGGCCGUAACUAUAACGGUCCUAAGGUAGCGAAAUUCCUUGUCGGGUAAGUUCCGACCUGCACGAAUGGCAUAAUGAUGGCGGCGCUGUCUCCAGCAGAGGCUCAGUGAAAUCGAAAUCGCUGUGAAGAUGCAGUGUACCCGCGGCUAGACGGAAAGACCCCGUGAACCUUUACUGCAGCUUGACACUGAACUUUGACCUUACUUGUGUAGGAUAGGUGGGAGGCUUUGAAGCUGGAACGCUAGUUCCAGUGGAGCCGUCCUUGAAAUACCACCCUGGUAAUGUUGAGGUUCUAACUCUGUCCCGUGAUCCGGGACGAGGACCGUGUCUGGUGGGUAGUUUGACUGGGGCGGUCUCCUCCUAAAGAGUAACGGAGGAGUACGAAGGUGCGCUCAGCGUGGUCGGAAAUCACGCGUAGAGUAUAAAGGCAAAAGCGCGCUUAACUGCGAGACCCACAAGUCGAGCAGGUACGAAAGUAGGUCUUAGUGAUCCGGUGGUUCUGUAUGGAAGGGCCAUCGCUCAACGGAUAAAAGGUACUCUGGGGAUAACAGGCUGAUACCGCCCAAGAGUUCAUAUCGACGGCGGUGUUUGGCACCUCGAUGUCGGCUCAUCUCAUCCUGGGGCUGAAGCAGGUCCCAAGGGUAUGGCUGUUCGCCAUUUAAAGAGGUACGCGAGCUGGGUUUAGAACGUCGUGAGACAGUUCGGUCCCUAUCUACCGUGGGCGCUGGAAAUUUGAGAGGAUCUGCUCCUAGUACGAGAGGACCAGAGUGGACGAACCUCUGGUGUACCGGUUGUGACGCCAGUCGCAUCGCCGGGUAGCUAUGUUCGGAAGGGAUAACCGCUGAAAGCAUCUAAGCGGGAAGCCUACCUCAAGAUAAGAUUUCCCUAGGACUUUAUGUCCUCUAAAGAGCCGUUCGAGACUAGGACGUUGAUAGGUUGGAUGUGGAAGCAUAGUGAUAUGUGAAGCUGACCAAUACUAAUUGCUCGUGAGGCUUGACUAU